rnacentral:rRNA from 1 species
AGAGUUUGAUCCUGGCUCAGAGUGAACGCUGGCGGCGUGCUUAACACAUGCAAGUCGAACGGUAACAGGUCUUCGGAUGCUGACGAGUGGCGGACGGGUGAGUAAUGUAUAGGUAUGUGCCCCAUAGACUAGGAUAGCCACUGGAAACGGUGAUUAAUACUGGAUACUCCUUACGAGGGAAAGAUUUAUCGCUAUGGGAUCGGCCUAUAUUGUAUCAGCUAGUUGGUGAGGUAAAGGCUCACCAAGGCAAUGACACAUAACUGGUCUGAGAGGAUGAUCAGUCACACUGGAACUGAGACACGGUCCAGACUCCUACGGGAGGCAGCAGUGGGGAAUAUUACACAAUGGAGGAAACUCUGAUGUAGCAACGCCGCGUGGAGGAUGACACAUUUCGGUGCGUAAACUCCUUUUAUUAGGGAAGAUAAUGACGGUACCUAAUGAAUAAGCACCGGCUAACUCCGUGCCAGCAGCCGCGGUAAUACGGAGGGUGCAAGCGUUACUCGGAAUCACUGGGCGUAAAGCGCGCGCAGGCGGGUUUGUAAGUUGGAAGUGAAAUCCACUGGCUUAACCAGUGAACUGCUUCCAAAACUACUUACCUAGAGUCUGGGAGGGGAAGAUGGAAUUAGUUGUGUAGGGGUAAAAUCCGUAGAGAUAACUAGGAAUAUCAAAAGCGAAGGCGAUCUUCUGGAACAGUACUGACGCUGAGGCGCGAAAGCGUGGGGAGCAAACAGGAUUAGAUACCCUGGUAGUCCACGCCCUAAACGAUGAAUGUUAGUCGUCGGUAUGCUCGUCAUAUCGGUGAUGCACUUAACAGAUUAAACAUUCCGCCUGGGGAGUACGGUCGCAAGAUUAAAACUCAAAGGAUAGACGGGGACCCGCACAAGUGGUGGAGCAUGUGGUUUAAUUCGAAGAUACGCGAAGAACCUUACCUAGCCUUGACAUUGAUAGAAUCCGCUAGAGAUAGUGGAGUGCCAGUUUACUGGAGCUUGAAAACAGGUGCUGCACGGCUGUCGUCAGCUCGUGUCGUGAGAUGUUGGGUUAAGUCCCGCAACGAGCGCAACCCUCGUGACUAGUUACUAACGGUUCGGCCGAGGACUCUAGUCAGACUGCCUUCGUAAGGAGGAGGAAGGUGAGGACGACGUCAAGUCAUCAUGGCCCUUACGGCUAGGGCGACACACGUGCUACAAUGGGCAGGACAAUGAGACGCAAUACCGCGAGGUGGAGCAAAUCUAUAAACCUGCUCUCAGUUCGGAUUGUAGUCUGCAACUCAACUACAUGAAGCUGGAAUCACUAGUAAUCGUAGAUCAGCCAUGCUACGGUGAAUACGUUCCCGGGUCUUGUACUCACCGCCCGUCACACCAUGGGAGUUGAUUUCACCCGAAGCGGGGAAGCUAAACUGGCUACCCUCCACGGUGGAAUCAGCGACUGGGGUGAAGUCGUAACAAGGUAACC